rnacentral:lncRNA from 1 species
GUGCGGCGGCGAGUGGCGGCGGGUGGCGGCGGUCGGCCUCUGGUUCGUCUUCUCCGGCGAGCGGCUGGCGGCUAGGGUUUUUGGUCUGGUGUGGAGGUUCUAUUUAUAACCCCUUGCCUUUUGAUCACAGCCGUUCAUUUCGUUUUAAUCUGGACCGUUCGUUUUUGAUUGAAUCUGGGCCGUCCGUGCGUUUUGAAUCUGGGCCGUCCGAUCGCGUGAUUGAUCUGGGCCGUCGGAUCGCACCCACGCGGAUCGCCAACGUGGCUCCUUUCGGAGUGACGCGAUCUUGCCACGUGUCAGGCCCUGGUUGGCCGGGACUGCUGACGUGGCUGCUGACGCGGCUGCUGACGUGGCCCCCCCCCCCCCCUUUUUUUUUUUUUUUCUUUUUUUUUUUUUUUUUUUUUUUUUUUUUUUCCUCCUCCUUUCCGGGUGCUACAGCACUAGUUGUACUUCAUGAAUUAUUUUUAACUUACGAGAUAAUCAUAUGUAAGAUGAAUAAAUUUGUAAGUAGAAAAACAAUAUUAUUCUUCAGACUCAAUAAAUAAAAAGUGACACUAAAAGAGAACAUAGGUGAAAAAGUGAAAAACUUGUUUAUUUUAGUAAGAAAAAUUGAGAGAACUUUAAAGUGAAAAAAAAAAUAUAUAUAUAUAUAUAUAAGUAGUCUCACAAAAAAUUAUAAUUUAAAACAUUCAAAUAAAGAAUCAGUAUACUAUCAAAUCUGUGUUAUAAAAAAAAUUAAGAUAGUUAGUUGAUUAGACAGUAAUAUUUCUAUAUAUAAUAAUAAUAACUUUGAUAUAAAGCAAAAAGUAUUUAAUUGAUGAUAUAUCUUUUAAUAUUAACUAAUUAAUUACUUAUAAUGAAUUAUUUGGAUUAUAUGAUUUAGUUCAAAAGAUAGAGUUAUAAAAGUAGUGUUCUUAAGAAAGAACUUAU